AUUGAACGCUGGCGGCAGGCCUAACACAUGCCAGUCGAACGGAAACAGGAAGAAGCUUGCUUCUUUGCUGACGAGUGGCGGACGGGUGUGUAAUGUCUGGGAAACUGCUUGAUGGAGGGGGAUAACUACUGGAAACGGUAGCUAUUACCGCAUAACGUCGCAAGACCAAAGAGGGGGACCUUCGGGCCUCUUGCCAUCGGCUGUGCCCAGAUGGGAUUAGCUAGUAGGUGGGGUAACGGCUCACCUAGGCCACGAUCCCUAGCUGUUCUGAGAGGAUGACCAGCCACACUGGAACUGAGACACGGUCCAGACUCCUACGGGAGGCAGCAGUGGGGAAUAUUGCGCAAUGGGCGCAAGCCUGAUGCAGCCAUGCCGCGUGUAUGAAGAAGGCCUUCGGAUUGUAAAGUACUUUCAGCGGGGAGGAAGGGAGUAGAGUUAAUACCUUUGCUCAUUGACGUUACCCGCAGAAGAAGCACCGGCUAACUACGUG
rnacentral:rRNA from 1 species